GAAGAAGGAAAGUACUAAAAGCGGGUCCGUGAGGUUACUCUGUGCCGAUGUUUCGUGCUUUAGGCUUACGCGGGGCUCGUUGCCGCAGCAGGCGCUGAGAGGCUUUGAUGCAGGCACUGCCGCCCGGUCCGAACCAUCUGAACAUGGUUAUUAAUGCCCUGAGCAGGCAGCGGCAGCUCAGGCAGGAUGUUACAGGCUUUGCAAAUUGAUAUGCAAGAGGUGCACAGGACGAGGUGAGUGAGUUGGGACACAACCCUGGCCGAUGCAUCAGCAGGAAUCCAGUGAUGUCAGCAGAGACACGGCUCCAGCUGGGAACGAUGGUGGUGUCUUUGCAGAAAGACCUUCCUGAAAAGUCUCUGCAUCCCCACCAUCCCCGGCGCAUCAGCUGGCAGCACUGGCUAUUGGCAUCCUCUGGCCCCAGGGACAUACUGCGGACCUUCCACCAUGGCACCAGUCCUCCCUGCUGUGCCAUGGCAACAUGCUCCUGAAAAGUAUCCUGGUGUGACAGCUCACCUGCUUACAGCAAAAUCCAAGAGCACUUGUUUAAAUGCUCCGUUUCCAGUAAAGGAAACUCUAUACCACAGAAGCAGCUUUGUCCCUGCCUGGUCAUUUUAAACAGGGGUUUGUUAGAGGGACCAGGGCAGUGUUUGUUAAAAUUUGCCUGUCCCUGAGGAUUGCUUUCAAAUUGGAGACCAUUAUUACCUGAGAUUAGAGCUAUCCCCAGCUUUAUUUUUGUACCAUCAUCAACGCACGUGAUGUUUAAAGACAAAAAGACAGGAAGAGGCAGCAUCCCUUCCCCAGCUAAUAUACGGUUUGAUGACUGAAAGAGAUUUAUUGAAAUCAAUGUGCACUUUACCAUCGAUUGCUUUGUGCAGUGAGGCCUCCUUUAAAGCUUGUCAGCUUUUCCUUGUAAAGCUGAAAUGAGACUAACCUGAUGUAUCAACAGUGAGUAGUUUGAAGUGAUACUUCUCUUUCUCUCUUUUUCUCUCUCCAUGCUUCUGAGACACCACAAAAUAACUUUUAUUUAAACAUGUAUUUAUCACAUUUACUGAAGGUGUCCAAACUGCCUAAAAAAAUAAAAACUGAAUGCAAAAUUCAAUUUAGCAUUGGAAGGGGACUUGACCAGAUGAUCUAACUGGUCGUUUAUUGCUAGCUAUGACUAUAAUUGCAUGUCUGCAUCAUGCCGUUUAAAAUUUUAAAUUCAACCCACACCAUAUUUUCAUUCAGUGAAAGGAAUUUACUUUAGCAUCAUUCUUUGCCCAUGUCAGGAGAGCAAUUUUUCACUGAUGAUAAGAAAAUGUCAUUUUUUGUUUUAAAAUUGCAAAUGAAAAAGCCAUUUCUAUGUCUCCUGAGCUUUUAUUUAUUGAUUUUCUCAUUAUUAAGUGAAUAAUUUCAAUUAAUUUUAUAAUAAUAACAAUCCA